GAUAGCCACGGCUCCUACGGCGUGCGGCUUUGUGUGCGUGCGCGCACAGCAUACGCCUGCCCGCGUGCAGAGCUCCGGCGCCCUGCCACCCGAACACAGGUUCUCUCUCUUUAUUUUCACAGACAGCCCCUGUGCGUGUGUCUGCCCCCGUGCCGCCGUCGCUGAGAUGAGCGACAAGUAUCUGCGAAAUGAGCAGCAGCAUCUGCUGAAUUCUAUCGGCACAGAGGUGUGCUGGGGCUGGUCACCAGCCAUUGAUUUUGUGUCGUUGCUCGCCAAGCGACCGCGUCGUUUUGCGGAGAAUAGCGCAUCGCAAGACGUCAUUGACCGAAUCGUGGACGGGCGACGUGAGGUGCCGCCAUCGGCUUCGCCCGUGUCUGCCGCUAAAACGUCACCCUCCUCGAGGAGCAAAGAUGAGGCUGAGCUCGACGACCUCAUUGCGCAAAUCCAGAGCCGCAAGGCGACGAGCACUAAGGCUGCGGAGGCCGCCCCAGGAGAGUCAGCUGAAUCGCAGCCUCACUGCAGUCCACCUUACUCUUCUUCCACAGCAUCCCCUGCGCCCGCUGCGGUAGCGGACGACGAGGUGAACAUCUUACUCGCCGGUGCGUCUGACAUUCGCCACCUGCUUCGCACCUUGUCUUCCCUUCGCGCUGCCGAGUCUGCCGACGGCACGCGAAGGCCGCAGCCGACGUACCACUUCUACGUCUAUGAGCCAAACCUGCGCCUGCACUGCCGCCACCUCUUCUUUCUCCAGUGGUUGCUCGACAGCAUGUUUGCGCUCGAGGAGCUGGAGGAGCGUGUUCUUAUGUUUUUGGACGUGUAUGGUAACGCGCUGAUGCGCGACAUAACCGCUGCGCAGGUACGCAACGUGGUGCAGCGGCUCCGCAAGGCGCUCGAGACCGACUCUUCUUCGCUGCUCCGCAUCGCCUCGUUUGAGGAGAUGAAGAGCAAGGAGCGCGACUUUGUGGAGGGCCAACUGGCACACUGGACCCGCGACGCCUCCACGGCGAACAUCAGGGAGCAGUGGGCGCAGCGCGUCCGGCAGGAGAUGGCGGAACGCUACGACAACCGCGACAACAUCAUCGACUGGGACUUUGUCUUUCACUUAACGGAGUACACAAACCUGCUCAAGUUCCCGGAGUACCGCACGUGGCGCAACACCGGCGUCGCCUUCGACGUCAGUCACAUCAAUCCGCGACGAGGCUUCAGCUACGAGUACAAGGUCCCCAACAAGACCCUCUGCUUCUUCUCCGGCGCCGGCCGCGGUGUCUACGCAGGGGACAUCAAGAAUGGGCCAUUUUUCUCCUUCGGUGCGCUCACGCAAAACGCGCACAUUCGCCAACGCACGACGGACGGAACGUGCAGGCACGGGAACGGCGUCGUUUCCAUGCACAACGUGCGCGCCUGGCUGUACACGCUCAUGACCGGCUUGCCGUGGCCGUGGGCCGACCACGCCUUCGCCUGGGACGACGCCAACAAUUACAACUACCUUCCUCCUGGUACACCGAGCGGCGUCGCCUACACCGCCGCACUGCCGAAGGUGCGCGUGCAUCUUGUGGGGCUGGAGUGGGACCGCUUUGUGCGGCACUGCAAGGAAGGCCAGGUGCCACGCAUGGAUGCAGCCUUCUUUGGCACCUCCUGCACUCAGUACAUGACCCCCACCGUGCUGGGCGACGUCAUGUCCGGCGCGGCGCACGCGGUGGUGGUGGCGGAGACGGCUAAGUUCAUCGUGGACGCCGAGGACGUGGCGAAGAAGGUCUAUAUCGCAAAGCUGGACGAUCUAGCCCACGCAGGCGGGUGGGCAAGGGAUGACGCGUUGACGAACGACCUCCACGAGGGCAAACCUGAUCCACUGCCCGUGAAGGGGACGAUGACCGAUGCACAGAAAGUCUCACAGGAGCGGUACAUGCAGCCAUCGCUGCUCGCCUACGUCGCGAAGGCUCCUGCGUAGCCCGUGCGCGAGAAAGGAAGGCAGCAUGGACGUGAAGCGUGCUGUGGUGGUGAUGAGGCGUACAUGAAAGCGGAGUCGGCGCAUCCUCUCUCUCUCCCUCACGCUGCGUGUCUGCCGACACGUACGCGCAUCCACCGAGCGAUUUAGAGCGCACAUUCUUGUUUGACUCACACAGAACUUUCUCAUUUAUUGCAUCGCACCCUGACUGCUCCAUGUCGCCGCCACACUGCCGCACUGGAUUUGCACGCAGGGCCUGCCUUCUGCUUGUGCGAGCGCAGCGGAGGAAAGAGCUAAACGUGCGGCGCACAUUCCCCAUGAUGGCCAAGACGACGGCGAAGGGUGGGCAGUCGGUGAGUUCAAGAGAGGCCGACAUAUUGUUUUCUGUUUACUUGUUUGGGUGGACGUCCCCUCUUCGCCAUAGAUGAAGCAAAGAAAAAGCCGCACAACGCCUCAACUGCGCCGACUCAACCGCGCACGAGCACCUUCGGUAGGAAGAAAAAAAGCACGUUGCUCUCCGUCACCCCUUCUACGCCGCUGCUCGCAUGCUUCGAGGGAUUCCUCUGGAGACUCGAUCCCCCUACCCGGCCCCUCCCACAGGGCUGUAAAUGGAGCG
rnacentral:misc_RNA from 1 species